rnacentral:tRNA from 1 species
GGAGAUUUACUCAAGAGGCUGAAGAGGCGCCCUUGCUAAGGGUGUAGGUCGGUUUAUCCCGGCGMGAGGGUUCGAAUCCCUCAAUCUCCAUCA